AGCAGUAGCCGCGGUAAUACGGAGGGUGCAAGCGUUAAUCGGAAUUACUGGGCGUAAAGCGUGCGCAGGCGGUUAUAUAAGACAGAUGUGAAAUCCCCGGGCUCAACCUGGGAACUGCAUUUGUGACUGUAUAGCUAGAGUACGGCAGAGGGGGAUGGAAUUCCGCGUGUAGCAGUGAAAUGCGUAGAUAUGCGGAGGAACACCGAUGGCGAAGGCAAUCCCCUGGGCCUGUACUGACGCUCAUGCACGAAAGCGUGGGGAGCAAACAGGAUUAGAUACCCGGGUAGUCCCUGUCUCUUAUAC
rnacentral:rRNA from 1 species